rnacentral:rRNA from 1 species
UUGCCCUGAUGUGGGGGAUAACCAUUGGAAACGAUGGCUAAUACCGCAUAAAACCUACGGGUCAAAGAGGGGGACCUUCGGGCCUCUCGCGUCAGGAUAUGCCUAGGUGGGAUUAGCUAGUUGGUGAGGUAAUGGCUCACCAAGGCGACGAUCCCUAGCUGGUCUGAGAGGAUGAUCAGCCACACUGGAACUGAGACACGGUCCAGACUCCUACGGGAGGCAGCAGUGGGGAAUAUUGCACAAUGGGCGCAAGCCUGAUGCAGCCAUGCCGCGUGUGUGAAGAAGGCCUUCGGGUUGUAAAGCACUUUCAGUCGUGAGGAAGGUAGUGUAGUUAAUAGCUGCAUUAUUUGACGUUAGCGACAGAAGAAGCACCGGCUAACUCCGUGCCAGCAGCCGCGGUAAUACGGAGGGUGCGAGCGUUAAUCGGAAUUACUGGGCGUAAAGCGCAUGCAGGUGGUUUGUUAAGUCAGAUGUGAAAGCCCGGGGCUCAACCUCGGAAUAGCAUUUGAAACUGGCAGACUAGAGUACUGUAGAGGGGGGUAGAAUUUCAGGUGUAGCGGUGAAAUGCGUAGAGAUCUGAAGGAAUACCGGUGGCGAAGGCGGCCCCCCUGGACAGAUACUGACACUCAGAUGCGAAAGCGUGGGGAGCAAACAGGAUUAGAUACCCUGGUAGUCCACGCCGUAAACGAUGUCUACUUGGAGGUUGUGGCCCUUGAGCCGUGGCUUUCGGAGCUAACGCGUUAAGUAGACCGCCCUGGGGAGUACGGUCGCAAGAUUAAAACUCAAAUGAAUUGACGGGGGCCCGCACAAGCGGUGGAGCAUGUGGUUUAAUUCGAUGCAACGCGAAGAACCUUACCUACUCUUGACAUCCAGAGAACUUUCCAGAGAUGGAUUGGUGCCUUCGGAGAACUCUGAGACAGGGUGCUGCAUGGCCGUCGUCAGCUCGUGUUGUGAAAUGUUGGGUUAAGUCCCGCAACGAGCGCAACCCUUAUCCUUGUUUGCCAGCACUUCGGGUGGGAACUCCAGGGAGACUGCCGGUGAUAAACCGGAGGAAGGUGGGGACGACGUCAAGUCAUCAUGGCCCUUACGAGUAGGGCUACACA